rnacentral:rRNA from 1 species
UGGGGAAUUUUGGACAAUGGGCGAAAGCUGAUCCAGCAAUGCCGCGUGUGUGAAGAAGGCCUUCGGGUUGUAAAGCACUUUUGUCCGGAAAGAAAUCCUUGGCUCUAAUACAGUCGGGGGAUGACGGUACCGGAAGAAUAAGCACCGGCUAACUACGUGCCAGCAGCCGCGGUAAUACGUAGGGUGCAAGCGUUAAUCGGAAUUACUGGGCGUAAAGCGUGCGCAGGCGGUCUGCUAAGACCGAUGUGAAAUCCCCGGGCUCAACCUGGGAACUGCAUUGGUGACUGGCAGGCUAGAGUAUGGCAGAGGGGGGUAGAAUUCCACGUGUAGCAGUGAAAUGCGUAGAGAUGUGGAGGAAUACCGAUGGCGAAGGCAGCCCCCUGGGCCAAUACUGACGCUCAUGCACGAAAGCGUGGGGAGCAAACAGGAUUAGAUACCCUGGUAGUCCACGCCCUAAACGAUGUCAACUAGUUGUUGGGGAUUCAUUUCCUUAGUAACGUAGCUAACGCGUGAAGUUGACCGCCUGGGGAGUACGGUCGCAAGAUUAAAACUCAAAUGAAUUGACGGGGUCAUAGCUGUUUCCU